GAAGCCCUUCGUCAAUUUAUGGCGGAUUUUACAGUGCGUGGCUAGCUAGCUACUGUCCAAAUAAACAACAAUAACAAAAUCUAACGUUAGUGGAUGUAACAUGCUACGCAGAAAGCCCACCCGCCUGGAGUUUAAGUUGGAUGACACUGAGGAGUUUGAGUGUGUCAAGAAAGAGCUUGAAUCGGAAAAAACAGAGAGAUGAAGUGGAUGUUGUUGGUGUGGCAACGUCUAGUGACAUGGUGGGGGCCAGUGGUGGAACAGGGGAUGUGAAGACACGGGAACAGAUGAUCAACGAGAGAAUAGGCUACAAGCCCCAUCCUAAACCCAACACCUUGCCAUCACUCUUUGGAAACCUGCAGUUUUAGGUUCCUAAUGGGCACAUUAAAGAGACUGCUCAAACGUUUGGCUCCUCCAGCGUUGGUGUGUGGAUGGCACAGUGACUGUGGUAUUGACAUAGUCAGGGAUACUUGUGUGCUUACCUGAGAUCAGAAUUAUCUCUACAUAGAAAUGUGUAGUUUGAGGAUCCCGUUUUGCUUAUAACACACAUCUUCUAAAGUAAAUGUUGCUGCAUUUACCUGAAAUGUUAUGACUUGCGAUGUGAAGUGUGUGGCUUUUUGUACAAUAUGUUUAGUAAGAGCUGUUGUAGUGGUUUCCCUCCUUUAUUACAAAAAUCCAGACUUGGUAGUCCCAGGAAGGUGAAGGUAGCAUCUGUGGGGCAAGAUGGAAUGAACUGAAUGGACUUGAUAACUAAUCAGUUAUUACUUACGAUGGUAUGAUUGUACUUUUAUUGGCCUUCAAAGCCACAUUAUGAGAAUGCAACAGAAUCAAAACAUACAGUUCUUGAAUGAUACCAUUUAUUACUUGUUUUCUCUAGAUGAUUACAGCACUGUAAAUAUGUCAAACUAUACAGACAUGUCUGUGGACAGUCCAGGUAAUAUUCACACUGAUUAUGCGCUGGAGUGGCGGUCAGAUUCCCACUGCUGUUUUGGCCCAUUAACUUCAACGCUAGAUUUGUACAGUAGACUAUAAUAACAAAUAGUCUUUAUACAUGAUCCCACUUGGUAAAGCAGAAACGGUUAUAAUAUGUUCAAGUGUACACUUAACUAUUAAUGUCCCUGGCUUGAUUGUAAUGUAAUGAGAAUGUGUGGCUGUUAAAUCCAGUUAAAGCAACUAGGAAUUUGACCCCCAAACCAGGCACGGCACAUCACUAAGGCUGUGUUUAGACAAGGAGCCCAAUGCUGAUAUUUUUUUCCACUAAUUGGUCUUUUGACCAAUCACAUCAGAUCUUUUUCAGAGCUGAUCUGAUUGGUCAAAAGACCAAUUAGCACAAAAAAUUAAUCAGAAUUGGGCUGCCUGUCUACACAGACAGACAACGCUGACAUUUCCACUAAUUGGUCUUUUGACCAAUCAAAUCAGCUCUAUUGCCAAAUAAAUCAGCAAAAGGUCAGAAUCAGGCUGCCUGUGUAAACGCAGCCUUAGGCAACUGAUACAAACAUUUACUAGUAAUUUCUCAGAGAUUCAAAAACGUAUAAUAUCAAAAUAAACUAAAAAUACAACUUUC